AAAUAAGUAUAGAAAAAGGAGUUGCGUCAACAACUCCCUAACAGCACCGUUUAAGACGGUGACCAGAUUAAUUUAACGAAAAA
rnacentral:sRNA from 1 species